rnacentral:lncRNA from 1 species
GAAUGUAGUGCUGGCCUCUAAAGGUAGGGUGGGAUGUGUAGGUGAUGGUGUGGCAGAUAUCCCUUAUAGGGGUGGCACGAGUCGUGGCGUCCGGGAGAUGUUGGAGGAUGGAUCUAUACAGAGCGAUGUUCGCUGGGACAUGCUCAAUCGAAGGGUGUGGAGAGUCAAAGUCCAGGAUGGCGUGUUUCUCAUCGGGGAGGGGGCCAUGUUCAAGGAGUUUGUCCGGGGGCGCUGGAGGUGAGUCUACAGUGUGUUCGUGGCCCUUUGGGUGCGGGGCCGCCCAUCUGGCAAUGGCCUUUUCCGGGUUGUAUAGGGGCGAGGAUGUUUUGUCUACCAUUGGCC